rnacentral:tRNA from 1 species
GCUCUAGUAGCUUAGACAUAAAGCAUCGGUCUUGUAAUCCGAAGAUCGGAGGCUAGCCCCCUCCCUAGCGCC